rnacentral:rRNA from 1 species
AGUGAACGCUGGCGGUAGGCCUAACACAUGCAAGUCGAACGGCAGCACAGUAAGAGCUUGCUCUUACGGGUGGCGAGUGGCGGACGGGUGAGGAAUACAUCGGAAUCUACUUUUUCGUGGGGGAUAACGUAGGGAAACUUACGCUAAUACCGCAUACGACCUACGGGUGAAAGCAGGGGAUCUUCGGACCUUGCGCGAUUGAAUGAGCCGAUGUCGGAUUAGCUAGUUGGCGGGGUAAAGGCCCACCAAGGCGACGAUCCGUAGCUGGUCUGAGAGGAUGAUCAGCCACACUGGAACUGAGACACGGUCCAGACUCCUACGGGAAGCAGCAGUGGGGAAUAUUGGACAAUGGGCGCAAGCCUGAUCCAGCCAUACCGCGUGGGUGAAGAAGGCCUUCGGGUUGUAAAGCCCUUUUGUUGGGAAAGAAAAGCAGCAGGUUAAUACCCCGCUGUUCUGACGGUACCCAAAGAGUAAGCACCGGCUAACUUCGUG